UACGUAGGGCGCAAGCGUUGUCCGGAAUUAUUGGGCGUAAAGAGCUCGUAGGCGGUUUGUCGCGUCUGCUGUGAAAACUCGAGGCUCAACCUCGGGCUUGCAGUGGGUACGGGCAGACUAGAGUGCGGUAGGGGAGACUGAAUUCCUGGUGUAGCGGUGGAAUGCGCAGAUAUCAGGAGGAACACCGAUGGCGAAGGCAGGUCUCUGGGCCGCAACUGACGCUGGAGGAAGCGGAAAGCAUGGGGAGCGAACAGG
rnacentral:rRNA from 1 species